rfam:Schistosoma haematobium scaffold458_6, whole genome shotgun sequence.
GCACUGCUGAGGAGUCCCAUACCAGGACGAAACGGCCGUCCAAUGC